rnacentral:tRNA from 1 species
GCGGGAAUAGCUCAGUUGGUAGAGCGCAACCUUGCCAAGGUUGAGGUCGAGAGUUCGAGUCUCUUUUCCCGCU